AUGUUUUAUGUAUGUGUGUGUGUGUGUAUGUAUGUGUGUGUGUGUAUAUAUAUAUAUAUAUAUAUAUAUAUAUAUAUAUAUAUAUAUAUAUAUAAAAUAGAGCAGAGAGGGGAGCCAAGCUUUGUGUAGCCUCUGGUCACAGGGCUACCUCAUACACACACACACACACCCAUAAACAUAUAUACAUAUACAUACAUGCAUGUAUGUAUUUUAUGGACCUUUAUUUAUUUAUUUAUAUGUGGCGCUGAGAAUUGAACCCAGGGCCUCACACAUGUUAGGCAGGUGCUUUACCACUGCAACCCCAGCUCCCCCUUCUGUUUUGGUUCAUGUAGUUUAACAGUAUGUUUUGAAGUUGGGUAAUAUUUAUCUUCCAGCUUAGUUUUUCUUUUUGGAAACGUUUUGCCUACUUUGAGUCCUUUGUAUUUCUGUAAAUAUUUUAGAACCAGCUUGUCAAUUCCAUACAAAAUAAAAACUACAGAGAUUUUUGAAUGGGAUUAUGUCAAAUCUGUAGCAGUUUAUGGAAGAAUUCAUUUCUUUUUUUUUGAUAUUGGGGAUUGAACCCAGGGAUGCUUAACUACUGAGCCUCAUCCCCAGCCCUUUUUAUUUAUUUUGAGAUAGGAUCUUGAUAAGUUGCUUAGGGCCUCACUAAGUUGCUGAGGCUGGCCUUGAACUUGUGAUCUUCAUGCCUCAGCCUCCUGAGCUGCUGGGAUUACAGGCGUGUGUCACUGCACCUAAUUUAUUCUGCCUUCUUAAGGUAAACACUUCAUAAUAAAACAUGUAAAGUCACAAAUAUCCUUCUAAGUGUCGUCAAAACUUCAAUGUGCCGUGCUUUGCUUUUUGAUAUGCUAAUUUCACGUGAGAUUUCUUCCUUACCCAUGGAUUUUUAGAAAUCUGUUGUUUCAUUCCCAAAUACUCGGGGCUUUUCUAGAUAGUUUACGAUGGCUGAUUUCUAAUUUAAUUCCAUCGUGGCCAGCCAGCAUGUUCUGUCCAUUUUCAGUCUUGGGGUUUGUCAAGACUUGGCUCUGAUGCAGCACAUUCCUGUCUGGGUGAGUGCCCUGUGCAUCCUUGAAUGAUGUCGGGUGGAGGUGGUCACUAGUGCUCUUAGGAGCUUCCGUAUAGUUACUGUUUCUGUUUUUUUUUUUUUUUAAAGAUCAUUGUAUCAAAUAUAUGAGGGGGUGUUCUGUCUCCAGCUUUCUUUACCUGUCAGUUACUUCAUGUGUGUUGAAACUGUUACUUACCGUAUGUGCAUCUAGAAUCCCUGUCACCGUCACCAGGGCCAUGCUGGUGUUUCAGCUGUUGAACUGCCAGCUGCAUGGUGGCAGGCUCACAGCAGACCUCCGAGAGCCAGUGCCCACAGGACUGGCUCCAGCACUAUGGACUAUGUCUUGCCUUGGGUGCACGUUGCUAGUGUUUUGACUACAGUCCUGGCUGUGAGGGAGGAAAUAGGGGAAGGUAAUGAAGAAGAGGCCCAAAGCUCUUAGUCACAGAUAUUCUUAGACUCAGACUAGUCUCUCUUCAGGCUGUUCCUAUGUAUCAGGCUCCCAUGUGGUUGCUAGCUUGAGAGCAACUGAUUUAAGAGCCACAUUGAUUUAAAAACUAUAUAAUAAAUUCUGGACGUGGUCACACACGCCUGUGAUCCCAGCCACUUGGGAGGCUGAGGCAGGAAGAUCGCAAGACCAGCCUCAACAACUUAACAAGGUGCUGUCUCAAAGUUUAAAAAAAAGCGCUGAAGGGGC
rnacentral:lncRNA from 1 species